UACGUAGGGGGCAAGCGUUAUCCGGAUUCACUGGGCGUAAAGGGAGCGCAGGCGGCAUGGCAAGUCUGAUGUGAAAACCCGGGGCCCAACCCCGGGAGUGCAUUGGAAACUGCCAGGCUGGAGUGUCGGUGGGUAAGCGGAAUUCCUAGUGUAGCGGUGAAAUGCGUAGAUAUUAGGAGGAACACCAGUGGCGAAGGCGGCUUACUGGACGGCAACUGACGCUGAGGCUCGAAAGCGUGGGGAGCAAACAGG
rnacentral:rRNA from 1 species